rnacentral:misc_RNA from 1 species
GAAAUGCGAUAAGUAAUGUGAAUUGCAGAAUUCCGUGAAUCAUCGAAUCUUUGAACGCACAUUGCACUCCUUGGUAUUCCGGGGAGUAUGCCUGUUUGAGCGUCAGCAAUCCCUCAAUCCUCCAAGGGUAUUUAUUUAUUCUCUUGGGGUGUUUGGUUAUGGAGCGUGUGACUUAUACUCACUGCUUUGAAUUGCAUUGGCCAGAUCUUUUGAAUCGCACUUCAGUGUAUUAGGUUAUUCCAACUCGCUGAAACGUUUCUGUUUUGACUGGCUUAAAACAUGCCUCUUUAAGGGUAACCUUUUUGAGACUUUUGAUUUUGACCUCAAAUCAGGCAGGACUACGGGCUGAACUUAA